rnacentral:rRNA from 1 species
GACGAACGCUGGCGGCGUGCUUAACACAUGCAAGUCGAGCGGUAAGGCCCUUUCGGGGGUACGACGAGCGGCGAACGGGUGAGUAACACGUGGGUGACCUGCCCUCCAGCUCUGGGAGUAAGCCUCGGGAAACCGGGGUACGUAAUACUGGAUAUGACUCCAUGACGCAUGUUGUGGGGUGGAAAGCCUUGUGCGGCUGAGGAUGGGCCCGCGGCCUAUCAGCUUGUUGGUGGGGUGGAUGGCCUACCAAGGCGACGACGGGUAGCCGG